rnacentral:rRNA from 1 species
UACGUAGGUGGCAAGCGUUAUCCGGAAUUAUUGGGCGUAAAGCGCGCGCAGGCGGUUUCUUAAGUCUGAUGUGAAAGCCCACGGCUCAACCGUGGAGGGUCAUUGGAAACUGGGGGAACUUGAGUGCAGAAGAGAAAAGCGGAAUUCCACGUGUAGCGGUGAAAUGCGUAGAGAUGUGGAGGAACACCAGUGGCGAAGGCGGCUUUUUUGGUCUGUAACUGACGCUGAGGCGCGAAAGCGUGGGGAGCAAACAGG